GACGAACGCUGGCGGCGUGCCUAAUACAUGCAAGUAGGACGCAGUUGCGAACGGGUGAGUAACGCGCAGGUAAUUACCUCUUAGAGGGGGAUAACUAUCGGAAACGAACGCUAAUACCGCCUAUUCGUAGAUGGACUUGCCUUGAAUUAGGUAGGAGGUAGGGUAAUGGCCUACCAAGGCAACGCUACAUAGCCGACCUGAGAGGAUGUUCGGCCACACUGGGACUGAGGCACGGGCCAGACUCCGACGGGAGGCAGCAGUAGGGAAACUUCGGCAAUGGGGGGAAGCCUGACCGGGCAACGCCGCGUGAGUGAAGAAGGUUUUCGGAUCGUAAAGCUCUGUUGUUAAGGAAGCGGUACUUAACGAGAAAGGGACGGCUAACUACGUGCCAGCAGCCGCGGUAAUAC
rnacentral:rRNA from 1 species